GAGGGUAUAGCUCAGUGGUAGAGUACAUGCUUAGCAUGCACGAGGUCCUAGGUUCAAUCCCCAGUGCCUCCA
rnacentral:tRNA from 1 species